UCUGAGGCAAAUUUGUAAUUUGCGAUAAUGGGCUAUACAAAAUAACAUGACUUGACUUGACUUGACUAUGUCGUAAAAAAUACUGCAACCUGCUUCUCUAGCCUACACACACACUCUCAGAAUAAACAGACCAACAGACCAUCACUAUGAGAUAUUAAUUUACACUACAUUUUUAAAAACACAGUCUUUCAAAUUUUAAACCUGUAGAAUUGGAAACAGAUUUUUUAGAUGUAAAAUCAAUAUUCUCAAUACUGCAGUUCACAAAUCUCCCACAUGCUGGUGUGUGCAUACAUACUAAACAUUAUCUUUCAGUAAUCAGGGGGAUAUACGCACACAAAGACCCACUUUCUGCUCAGAGGCCACUUCAAACAAGGCUCUUGAAUUUAGAUGAGCUUCCUAGUCAAAAGGAACACACACGCACAUACUAUUUGCAAUUUAAAAUGUUCUUUUAGAGUGCCAUGUGAUCAUUCCUUUGAUCGGUCAGUCGCUGAAUUGUUCAACCCGUACAUCCAUCUCAUUUGUCGGCUCUUCUGCGAUUACUGUCUUACAGAUCCAACUAAAUGGAUAAAGAUGGGAUCCAGCUGAAAUAAAGACCUGAAUUAAACGGACAAAUUUACGGGCUGCUGUUUGGAUAUCUGGAAAAUUGAUCAGUAUGGCAGGUCCAGUGCAGAAUUCACACAGGCUGUCUGUGAAAACGUGGACAGAGGAUGAGAGUGACAGAGCUGAGAGCACACCAAGCAGGGCACAGUCGAUGUGUGAUGACACUUCAUCGGAGCUUCAGAGGAUGGCGGCCAUUGACCGAAGAGAUAUUAAUUCUCAGAAUUC